GGCCGACCGCAGCGCAUCUCCAUCCCAGCACCAGCUGCUGUUUGUCGGAUACUCUCAGCGCAGAUGGAGCCUCAGAGAGUCUCCAGGCGCCUGACAGAAGCUCUCCGCCAGUGUAAAGCUGGGUGUUUACCGCUGCUGUUUACUGUGUUGAUUUACUCUCCUGAGCUGGAGUGACCUCUGCAUGAGCUCUGUGUGUUAAUAAUAACAGUAAUAAAGCGCUUUUCCACUCA